AGUGAACGCUGGCGGUAGGCCUAACACAUGCAAGUCGAACGGCAGCACAGUAAGAGCUUGCUCUUACGGGUGGCGAGUGGCGGACGGGUGAGGAAUACAUCGGGAUCUACUUUUUCGUGGGGGAUAACGUAGGGAAACUUACGCUAAUACCGCAUACGACCUACGGGUGAAAGCAGGGGAUCUUCGGACCUUGCGCGAUUGAAUGAGCCGAUGUCGGAUUAGCUAGUUGGCGGGGUAAAGGCCCACCAAGGCGACGAUCCGUAGCUGGUCUGAGAGGAUGAUCAGCCACACUGGAACUGAGACACGGUCCAGACUCCUACGGGAGGCAGCAGUGGGGAAUAUUGGACAAUGGGCGCAAGCCUGAUCCAGCCAUACCGCGUGGGUGAAGAAGGCCUUCGGGUUGUAAAGCCCUUUUGUUGGGAAAGAAAAGCAGCAGGUUAAUACCCCGCUGUUCCGACGGUACCCAAAGAAUAAGCACCGGCUAACUUCGUG
rnacentral:rRNA from 1 species